rnacentral:rRNA from 1 species
CCUACGGGAGGCAGCAGUGAGGAAUAUUGGUCAAUGGACGAGAGUCUGAACCAGCCAAGUAGCGUGAAGGAUGACUGCCCUAUGGGUUGUAAACUUCUUUUAUAAAGGAAUAAAACGAGGCACGUGCGCCUUUUUGCAUGUACUCUAUGAAUAAGGAUGGGCUAACUACGUGCCAGCAGACGCGGUAAUACGGAGGAUCCGCGGGUUAUCCGGGUUUAUUGGGUUUAAAGGGAGCGUAGAUGGGUUGUUAAGUCAGUUGUGAAAGUUUGCGGCUCAACCGUGGAAUUGCAAUUGAAACUGGCGGUCUCGAGUGCAGUUGGGGUAGACGGAAUUCGUGGUGUAGCGGUGAAAUGCUUAGAUAUCACGAAGAACCCCGAUUGCGAAGGCAACUUGCUAGACUGUAACUGACACUGAGGCUCGAAAGUGUGGGUAUCAAACAGGAUUAGAUACCCGAGUAGUC